rfam:Triticum aestivum genome assembly, contig: Triticum_aestivum_CS42_TGACv1_scaffold_108291_2AL
UUUCUACUCCCUCCAUCCGAAAAUACUUGUCAUCAAAAUGGAUAAAAAGAGAUGUAUCUAAAACUAAAAUACGUCUAGAUACAUUUCCUUUUAUCCAUUUUGAUGACAAGUAUUUCCGGACGGAGGGAGUAUUUG